GACGAACGCUGGCGGCGUGCUUAACACAUGCAAGUCGAACGGUGAAGCGCCUUCCUUUUUGGUGGGUGUGGAUGAGUGGCGAACGGGUGAGUAACACGUGAGUAACCUGCCCCCUUCUUCUGGAUAACCGCAUGAAAGUGUGGCUAAUACGGGAUAUUCUGGGUCUGUCGCAUGAUGGGUCUGAGAAAGAUAUUGUUUCGGUGGGGGAUGGGCUCGCGGCCUAUCAGCUUGUCGGUGGGGUGAUGGCCUACCAAGGCGGUGACGGGUAGCCGGCCUGAGAGGGUGGACGGUCACACUGGGACUGAGACACGGCCCAGACUCCUACGGGAGGCAGCAGUGGGGAAUAGUGCACAAUGGGCGCAAGCCUGAUGCAGCGACGCCGCGUGAGGGAUGGAGGCCUUCGGGUUGUGAACCUCUUUCGCCAGUGAAGCAGGCCUGCCUCGUUUGUGGGUGGGUUGACGGUAGCUGGAUAAGAAGCGCCGGCUAACUACGUG
rnacentral:rRNA from 1 species